CUGCGUCACCGCAAAAUUGAGGAAAGGAAUAUGUUUGACAUUUUUUCGGAAGAAAACUACGAAAAACUAUUUAUAGUAUGUUUUAAACCAGUUGUUGCUGUUGAUAUAUAAUUUAUUCAGACACCGUGUCACCUGUCAGGAGUUGCAGCUAAAGUAAAAACCACAAAAGAAGCGGAAGUGGGAAGUGGAAGUGGAAAAGUAACAGGAUGCAUUCACUUGUUUAUUGUUCAAGGAUACAUCCAAAGAGGCAUCUUUUUGACUUGGAUUCAACGCAGGAUCCGAUGCAGUUUGACAGAACAACCUUUUGAAG